rnacentral:rRNA from 1 species
CACCAAGCCUUCGAUGGAUAGGGGUUCUGAGAGGAAGGUCCCCCACAUUGGAACUGAGACACGGUCCAAACUCCUACGGGAGGCAGCAGUGAGGAAUAUUGGUCAAUGGGCGCUAGCCUGAACCAGCCAAGUAGCGUGAAGGAUGAAGGCUCUAUGGGUCGUAAACUUCUUUUAUAUAAGAAUAAAGUGCAGUAUGUAUACUGUUUUGUAUGUAUUAUAUGAAUAAGGAUCGGCUAACUCCGUGCCAGCAGCCGCGGUAAUACGGAGGAUCCGAGCGUUAUCCGGAUUUAUUGGGUUUAAAGGGAGCGUAGGUGGACUGGUAAGUCAGUUGUGAAAGUUUGCGGCUCAACCGUAAAAUUGCAGUUGAUACUGUCAGUCUUGAGUACAGUAGAGGUGGGCGGAAUUCGUGGUGUAGCGGUGAAAUGCUUAGAUAUCACGAAGAACUCCGAUUGCGAAGGCAGCUCACUGGACUGCAACUGACACUGAUGCUCGAAAGUGUGGGUAUCAAACAGGAUUAGAUACCCUGGUAGUCCACACAGUAAACGAUGAAUACUCGCUGUUUGCGAUAUACAGUAAGCGGCCAAGCGAAAGCAUUAAGUAUUCCACCUGGGGAGUACGCCGGCAACGGUGAAACUCAAAGGAAUUGACGGGGGCCCGCACAAGCGGAGGAACAUGUGGUUUAAUUCGAUGAUACGCGAGGAACCUUACCCGGGCUUAAAUUGCAGUGGAAUGAUGUGGAAACAUGUCAGUGAGCAAUCACCACUGUGAAGGUGCUGCAUGGUUGUCGUCAGCUCGUGCCGUGAGGUGUCGGCUUAAGUGCCAUAACGAGCGCAACCCUUAUCUUUAGUUACUAACAGGU